GUGUUAGGCUAGCCAGGUCUGGUCUGAGGCAGGGCAGACAGGUGUGUUAAGCUAGCCAGGUCUGGUCUGAGGCAGGGCAGACAGGUGUGUUAAGCUAGCCAGGUCUGGUCUGAGGCAGGGCAGACAGGUGUGUUAAGCUAGCCAGGUCUGGUCUGAGGCAGGGCAGGGCAGACAGGUGUGUUAACCUAGCCAGGUCUGGUCUGAGGCAGGGCAGGGCAGACAGGUGUGUUAAGCUAGCCAGGUCUGGUCUGAGGCAGGACAGGGCAGACAGGUAUUUUAGGCUGUAGAGUGAGUACGCGGCCACAACCCUAAAAAAUAAAAUGUGAUAACUUUUUCAAAUCCAAUGUAUUUUCAAAACCAAUGCUGAUUCAACCAGU
ensembl:lncRNA